rnacentral:misc_RNA from 1 species
GGGAGAUAGAACAAAAAAUUGAAAGAUGGAAUGGUCUUGGGGAGGACUGCUUCAGUGGAGAGGCUGAAAGACCGAAUGGUUUAGGUAAGAGCAGCUUCAAUGGAGAGGGUGAUUCUCCAAAAACCAAGAACACUCAACUGGCUAGGUGUGAUAGUCAUCCUCUUGAGAUGGAUUGCUUCAAGGAUGGAGAGAAAGAUCUGAAGCUUAAGAGACUGAACAAUUUGGAUGAAGGCAGCUCCUGUGAAGUGGCUGAACCUUGCAGGACUAACAACUCUCAGCUGGUUGUUUCUUACAUCCCAAACAU